rnacentral:rRNA from 1 species
UGCAGUCGAGCGAUGGAUUAGAGCUUGCUCUUAUGAAGUUAGCGGCGGACGCGUGUUAGUAACACGUGGGUAACCUGCCCAUAAGACUGGGAUAACUCCGGGAAACCGGGGCUAAUACCGGAUAAAAUUUUGAACUGCAUGGUUCGAAAUUGAAAGGCGGCUUCGGCUGUCACUUAUGGAUGGACCCGCGUCGCAUUAGCUAGUUGGUGAGGUAACGGCUCACCAUGGCAACGAUGCGUACCCGACCUGAGAGGGUGA